GACGAACGCUGGCGGCGUGCUUAACACAUGCAAGUCGAGCGGUAAAGCCCUUUCGGGGGUACACGAGCGGCGAACGGGUGAGUAACACGUGGGUGACCUGCCCUCAGCUCUGGGAUAAGCCUGGGAAACCGGGUCUAAUACCGGAUAUGACUCCAUGACGCAUGUUGUGGGGUGGAAAGCCUUGUGCGGCUGAGGAUGGGCCUGCGGCCUAUCAGCUUGUUGGUGGGGUGANGGCCUACCAAGGCGACGACGGGUAGCCGGCCUGAGAGGGCGACCGGCCACACUGGGACUGAGACACGGCCCAGACUCCUACGGGAGGCAGCAGUGGGGAAUCUUGCGCAAUGGGCGAAAGCCUGACGCAGCGACGCCGCGUGAGGGAUGACGGCCUGGU
rnacentral:rRNA from 1 species